CGGUCUGCGGCCAGCCGGGCACCGGCGGCGGGCAGGUAACGCCGCAGUGCCCCCCAGGAGCCCGGCGUGGGUUUCCCUGUCUCCCUGCUCCUACCCUUGUCCCCGAGGGGAGGCGACAACGGCCGCGACGAAGCUUUAGGUCACUGGAAACAUAUUGGAGUCAUGCUGCUUUGUCAGCUGAAGAGGAGCUCCCAGUGUGACACACGGCUAAAAGAGCAGCAGGCCCAGUCCUGGCAUCCCGAGCGCCAUCCCUGCUCCUGCGCGCCUGCCAGCCAGGGAGAAUCAGUGCCGUGAAUUUUGCAGCUACUGCCUGUGUGCACCAGUCACUGUCACCAACAGCAUUCCUGGGACUUGACACACACUGGAACACCUCUCCUACGCAUUUUUGUCUUCCGGUUUUGGCUCAUUCUGGUGGUUUUCUUAGAAAAAUGAACUAACUACGGUCAUACGACUUUAAAACGUAAAGCAGAUACUUUGGCCCCUCCGCAAAACAGUUGUAGAGUGAAAUCCUGCAGAAAUGUACAGAUGUUGUUUUGACCACCAGAGGGGGCCUGCAUUGUCCCAAAUUCAUAGAAAAAAAUGGAAAACAAUGUUUUAGGAGAGGAAGAAAACGGCAAGUAUGUAUUUGUACUCGGGUAGCGCCUACAGGCACUGAGCAAUGAUCAGCUGAUGGCAACACAUCCUAAUGAGAUGUGGGGUGAGCAAGGAGUGCUGCCUCGUACCCACUUCAUCAGCUGUGCCCAGAAGGUCUCCUACAGAGGAAAUUCUUGAGGAAUAAUAUGAGUUUUUCUGUGAAUCUGGAUGUGAAACACGAUGAGAUUAUUCUGGCUGUUGUAUUGAAGCACUGCCUCUACUGUGUUCAUUUCAGGAAAAGUAAUGCUGUAGAUGCAAGUCAAGUCUUCAAAACUGUUAUCAAAUGGCAUCAUAUUAAUAUCUCUGUUUUCAUUUCAAGUGGGACAUUUUUCAGUCAAUAUUUUAUUGACAUUUUGCAUACAUUUAAGACAGGGUUAGGCAUCCCAGCUACAGUAUGUAGAAUACACUUUGGAGAUACAGUUUCCAGUUAAUACUAUAAAAUGCAGUGAGAAAUCCUGCCACAAAAUUUAGCAGGAGUGGAAAAGCUUGAAGAAAAGAAAAGAAAAGAAAAGAGUUUUUUCCCCCUAAGAAAAUGAAGUGAUACAUAACAGAGCCUUAUAACUUUUCGUCAAUACCUACUUAGAUACUGAACUGUAAAUCUCAAAAGUACUUGUUUUUAAUUUGCCUUCAUUCUGCUUUUUUAAGCUGUGUAAAAUGAAUGCAAAGCAUGUGUAAUACCAAACCCCAUGCUUGCACACUAAAGCACCUUUUGACAGCAGAUCUCUACAUAAUCGUAUAAAUAACAAGGCAGCAGAAAUUCUAAUCCAGCAUUUAAUGUAAAAAAUCCUGUUAAUGUUCUGUGCCUUUUACAGUAGGCCAUCUAUACAAAACGAUGUCAUUAACCCCACCAUAUAGAAUUCGAAAAGAGAGGAAAGUUACUCCUGCUUGAAUGGCAAUUGACAAUCUUGCAUAUUCUUGCUUGGAAACAUUGUAAAAAGAAAACAAAUCUUCCAGUUGAAAGCCUCACUUCUAGAGUCACCCAAUAAUACAUAAAUAGGAGCACUUGGGCACACAGCAUCUGUCCCCCGCCCUGACUUAUUCAUCUAUUUGUAGCGGAUAUGAGAGCUUGUGGGUGGCCUAACAUGGUCCUCAUUCAAUUUUAUUUAAUUACUCACUUGAUUUCACUUGAAAGAACUAUUAAAAUGGCAUCUUAAUUGCUCGGUGUUAUCCAGAA